UAGGGAAUCUUCGGCAAUGUACGCAAGUCUGACCGAGCAACGCCGCGUGAGUGAAGAAGGUUUUCGGAUCGUAAAACUCUGUUUUUCGAGAAGAACAAGGACGUUAGUAACUGAACGUCCCCUGACGGUAUCUAACCAGAAAGCCACGGCUAACUACGUGCCAGCAUCCGCGGUAAUACGUAGGUGGCAAGCGUUGUCCGGAUUUAUUGGGCGUAAAGCGAGCGCAGGCGGUUUCUUAAGUCUGAUGUGAAAGCCCCCGGAUCAACGGGGGAGGGUCAUUGGAAACUGUGAGACUUGAGUGCAGAAGAGUAGAGUGGAAUUCCAUGUGUAGCGGUAAAAUGCGUAGAUAUAUGGAGGAACACCAGUGGCGAAGGCGGCUAUCUGGUCUGUAACUGACGCUGAGGCUCGAAAGCGUGGGGAGCAAACAGG
rnacentral:rRNA from 1 species